UUUUUUUUUUCUCACUGUUUCCUGAGUCGAAUGGGUGAUGAAUGAGUGUAAAAUAAAUGAUAUAGAUGUAUGUAAAUGUAUACUAUAUGUAUAUUUUUUUUUUUUUUGGUUUUUUUGAUUUUUAUAUAUGAGAUAAUAUAUAUGUAUUUUUUUCUUUAUCUUCAAGAUGUUCUUCAGAGUAUAUCAUCGUUAACAUAAUAAUUAUACGGUAUAAAUAAUAAUAUUAAAUUUAAUGAAUAUUGUUCGGUGAGGUGUAGGUAUAUAGGUAUAUGUAGGCGUGUGUGUAAUAUGCGCGUUAAAAUGUAAUUAUCCAAUUACUGUUGAUCAUUUUUAUAUGUGUGUAUCAAUUUUGUUCAUUUCUCUUUUUUUUUUUUAAAUUAUUUUUAUUCAAAUAUUAUUAUCAUUCUUUUUUGUUUAUUGUAUUUGUAUUUGUAUCGUCUGUAGUUCCUCUCUGUUCGUUAUCUCUACUUCUUCGUCUGCCACUCUGCUUUCUCGGAUUUCUUCGGCUGUGAAUAAUAACAUAGAAUACCCUAAUCAACUGUAAUUCUAUAGAUUGGAAAAAUAUGUGUAUAAAUAUGUAUAUGGACAAACAUGGUGAUAGAAAAGAAAGAACAAAAGGCAGCAAGAUGAAAAAGGGAGAAGAAAAAACGGACGAAACAGACAAAUGGAAAAAGACGUUUCACAAAAACUUAAAAUCCAAACCCUUCGUUUACAUAUGCACGUAGUAUGCGAGUAAAUGAUUUC